rnacentral:rRNA from 1 species
CGAGUCCGAGUCUCCACGGAGACGAAGUGGCGGUCAUCCAGCUUCCUAGAAAAGCUCUAACCACGUUAAUCUUUAGUUGCCUGUACCCGAAACCGACACAGGUAGGGGGGUAGAGAAUACCAAGGGGCGCGAGAUAACUCUCUCUAAGGAACUCGGCAAAAUGACCCCGUAACUUCGGGAGAAGGGGUACCACUGAGAAGUGGUCGCAGUGAAGAGGCCCAGGCGACUGUUUACCAAAAACACAGGUCUCCGCCAAGUCGCAAGACGAAGUAUGGGGGCUGACGCCUGCCCAGUGCCGGAAGGUUAAGGAAGUGGGUUAGGGAUUCGUCCCGAAGCUGACGACUGAAGCCCCGGUGAACGGCGGCCGUAACUAUAACGGUCCUAAGGUAGCGAAAUUCCUUGUCGGGUAAGUUCCGACCCGCACGAAAGGCGUAACGAUCUGGGCGCUGUCUCGGAGAGAGGCUCGGCGAAAUAGGAUUGUCUGUGAAGAUACGGACUACCUGCACCUGGACAGAAAGACCCUAUGAAGCUUUACUGUAGCUUGGAAUUGGGUUCGGGCUUGGUUUGCGCAGGAUAGGUGGGAGGCGAAGAAGAAUUGCUUGUGGGUGAAUCUGAGCCAACGGUGAGAUACCACUCUAACCAGGCUAGAAUUCUAACUUCAACCCGUCAACCGGGGGAAGGACAGUUUCAGGUGGGCAGUUUGACUGGGGCGGUCGCCUCCUAAAAGAUAACGGAGGCGCACAAAGGUUCCCUCAGGCUGGUUGGAAAUCAGCCAACGAGUGCAAAGGCAGAAGGGAGCUUGACUGCGAGACCUACAAGUCAAGCAGGGUGGAAACACGGUCUUAGUGAUCCGACGGCACCGAGUGGAAGGGCCGUCGCUCAACGGAUAAAAGUUACUCUAGGAUAACAGGCUGAUCUCCCCCAAGAGUUCACAUCGACGGGGAGGUUUGGCACCUCGAUGUCGGCUCAUCGCAACCUGGGGCGGAAGUACGUCCCAAGGGUUGGGCUGUUCGCCCAUUAAAGCGGUACGUGAGCUGGGUUCAGAACGUCGUGAGACAGUUCGGUCCAUAUCCGGUGUAGGCGCAAGAACAUUGAGAGGAGUCUUCCUUAGUACGAGAGGACCGGGAAGAACGCACCGCUGGUGUACCUGUUAUCGUGCCAACGGUAAACGCAGGGUAGCCAAGUGCGGAGUGGAUAACCGCUGAAAGCAUCUAAGUGGGAAGCCCACCUCAAGAUGAGUGUUCUCAUGGAGUAAUCCAGUAAGGUCACGGGAAGACGACCCGUUGAUAGGCGGUAGGUGGAAGUUCAGCAAUGGAUGAAGCCGAGCCGUACUAACAGACCGAGGGCUUGAUC